UGGUAUUAACAGCUUAUUUUAAUAAAAUACUUUGCUGUAAAACACACAGUAUGAUAAUAAAUGCUAGAGAUAAUAAAAGUUAGAAGUAGAAUGAUGCCAGAUUGAGGAUUGUGUGGAAAUUCUUCUGUACAGGUAAACCUUAAUUCUGUGUAUGUGCAGACAUCAUAGAUGUGUUUGUGUGGUGAAGUGAUGGGGAAACACUUAUAUCUCCUGAUGAACUUGGAGGAAGUGUGUAGAAGUAUGGAGUGAGUGGAGGUGGCAUCAGGGAAAUUUAAAAGGGUGCCCUGUGCUCCAUGAGGUGAGACGAUGAAAGCAAGUGUGAGUGUGAAUGCCAUGAUGGGAGGAUGAGGAAUAUGCAAUAAAGGAAAUGAAUAAAGAGGAUUUAUUCCAUGGAAUAAAUGGAGUAGGGAGGAGGAGGGAAAAGUGAAGCAUGAUGUGCUGGGAGAGUGGGAGAAUUUUUGUUGGAUUGACAUAAAUGAAGGAGUCAGGAGGGAUCCUGUGUGUGAGGGGGUGAGUGGAGGCCUUGGUGAGAGAUUUAUGAGACAGACACUCAUUUUGGCGUUGGGGAAAGGGCAGGAGAUAAACAUAGACUUGAGGGUGAGCUGCAUCACCCUUCUAAUGAUUGUAAUUAGAAAUUACAAGCCCUUCGAUGGAAAAAGCCAUAGAAAUGUACAGUUGGUGAGCACCAAACUGACCAGAUUCUCAUAGCAUGCAGCGGGAGUGUUUGGAGAAAUCCCCCCAGGAAUGCAGACAAGCAAUAAGAGAUCAGAGGCAACUCAAGACAGAAGCACAGGAUAGAGUCAAGAGUUUGAAGGAGCAAAUACUGGACACUGUUAAAAGUUAAAUAGUGGAAAUCAAAUGAAAGCCUGUAUAUUUGCUACCAGAAAAUUACCAGUGACCUUUAAGAGUAUAAUUUCCACGUUUUAGUGAAAACCUCAUUUAGUGAAAACCAUUAGGUGAAAACCUCACUUAUGGCUCAAGGGAUGAACUCUGUGAUAAAAUAAUUCCAAAUAGUGGACACCAAUCAUUUGAGAACUCUGGAUGUGAAAGAGGAAAUAAUUAGAAUGAUAGAUAGCAAAGAUUCCUCUCCCUGUACUGAGAGGUUGUAUAUUUUUUUCUUUAAUGAGGGCAAAGUGGUCAAUGAGAGGCAAGAGAAACAAAAGAAACCCCAGGAUGGCAAAGAGGAUAAAAGAAGGAAUAAGAUCCUUAUUGAAAGAGAUAGUUGAAAAAGAUAAUAAAAGAGGUAGAGAGUAUGAAAUCAAAGAUUAGAUCAGUUAUCAUCACCAAAUAAUGGCUAUCUCCCCUGAUUCAGUGGGAAUCCAUUAUAUCCACUAUACGAUCCAUUAGUAUAGGAAAGUUGGAUCUUUCUCUUGUUUUGUACACCCCAAGGAAAAGAAAGUUGGGGGAUGGACAGGCAUGGUGUAAUAGUGAAAAUGAGUCGAUCGUAUAAAAAAAAAAUUUUAAGUUUGAACAGUUUCUGUUAAAUGGACAUUAAAUGUCCAAAAUUGAUAUUGUAACAUAUAGAUCUACUUUAAAAGCCUUUCUGGGAUGAAGGAAAGCACAAAAGAAGCUGCCUUCCAGCAUACAUCUACAUAUAUUCUUACAUAUAUUAUACUCCGCCUUGAUCAAUGAUGAAGGCUCCUUAAACAUUUGUUUCCUUUCCUCUUAUGUAAAUAGAAAGUCAAACAUCCACACUGUCAUUUCCUUUAUUCUGAGCCCAUAUGCAAAAGAUAGAAUCUUAAGAACAUCAAGUUGAGAAGAAAAAUAGAAAAGGACAAGAUAUGAUCACACU
rnacentral:lncRNA from 1 species